GAUGAACGCUAGCGGCAGGCCUAACACAUGCAAGUCGAGGGGCAGCAUGGUUAAUAGCAAUAUUAACUGAUGGCGACCGGCGCACGGGUGCGUAACACGUAUGCAAUCUACCUUGUACAGGGGCAUAACUUCGAGAAAUCGGUGCUAAUUCCCCAUAAUAUUGAGAUGUGGCAUCACAUUUUAAUUAAAGCUGAGGCGGUACAAGAUGAGCAUGCGUCCAAUUAGCUAGUAGGUGGGGUAACGGCUCACCUAGGCGACGAUUGGUAGGGGUUCUGAGAGGAUGAGCCCCCACACUGGUACUGUGACACGGACCAGACUCCUGCGGGAGGCAGCAGUGAGGAAUAUUGCGCAAUGGACGAAAGUCUGACGCAGCCAUGCCGCGUGAAGGAUUGACGGCCCUAUGGGUUGUAAACUUCUUUUGUAUAGGAAUAAACCCUCGUUCGUGAACGAGGCUGAAGGUACUAUAAGAAUAAGCACCGGCUAACUCCGUGCCAGCCGCCGCGGUAAGAC
rnacentral:rRNA from 1 species